UGCAAGUCGAGCGGGGGAAGGUAGCUUGCUACUGGACCUAGCGGCGGACGGGUGAGUAAUGCUUAGGAAUCUGCCUAUUAGUGGGGGACAACAGUUGGAAACGGCUGCUAAUACCGCAUACGCCCUACGGGGGAAAGCAGGGGAUCUUCGGACCUUGCGCUAAUAGAUGAGCCUAAGUCGGAUUAGCUAGUUGGUGGGGUAAAGGCCUACCAAGGCGACGAUCUGUAGCGGGUCUGAGAGGAUGAUCCGCCACACUGGGACUGAGACACGGCCCAGACUCCUACGGGAGGCAGCAGUGGGGAAUAUUGGACAAUGGGGGCAACCCUGAUCCAGCCAUGCCGCGUGUGUGAAGAAGGCCUUUUGGUUGUAAAGCACUUUAAGCGAGGAGGAGGCUACUUAGAUUAAUACUCUAGGAUAGUGGACGUUACUCGCAGAAUAAGCACCGGCUAACUCUGUGCCAGCAGCCGCGGUAAUACAGAGGGUGCGAGCGUUAAUCGGAUUUACUGGGCGUAAAGCGUGCGUAGGCGGCUGAUUAAGUCGGAUGUGAAAUCCCUGAGCUUAACUUAGGAAUUGCAUUCGAUACUGGUCAGCUAGAGUAUGGGAGAGGAUGGUAGAAUUCCAGGUGUAGCGGUGAAAUGCGUAGAGAUCUGGAGGAAUACCGAUGGCGAAGGCAGCCAUCUGGCCUAAUACUGACGCUGAGGCACGAAAGCAUGGGGAGCAAACAGGAUUAGAUACCCUGGUAGUCCAUGCCGUAAACGAUGUCUACUAGCCGUUGGGGCC
rnacentral:rRNA from 1 species